GACUUGCCUGAAAGAGGGAAAGGAAUUAAAUUUGGAUACCACCUUGAAAAGCAUAAAGGUGAAUUUUGGAAUCAGACACAUUAUUGUUUAUCAUUAUCGAUUGUUAUUUCUGCGAUACAAUGAGGCUUUGAUUUUGAAACAAGUCCAAUGCAUACAAGUGGCACAGCACAGUGCAGCAAUUAUCUCUAAUGCGCCUUUGCACUGGCUGGGGAUAUUUCUUCAGCUUUACUCUUGUAUUGUUUUCCAUAACCCAUUCCUGUCCUUCUUUUUGUUUGUUUGUUUUUUCUUUCUUUCUUUUUCUUCUGUAUUUAAAAGUAGGCUUUACAUUCUCUGCUUAUGACAUAUGGGUUUAUUGAGAACAUUUAGUAAGAAACACAUGUAGUAUGAUUGUAACUGGUACCCUUGUAUGUAGGUCACUCAGAUCUGGGAAUUGGUGGGAAUGGAUUUAAUAGGACCAUUACCAGUAACAAAGGAUGGAUACCAGUAUAUACUGACAGCCAUAGAUUAUCUUUCAAGAUGGGUGGAAGCCUUUCCACUUAGAAGUAAGUCAGCAUCUGAGGUGGCAAAGGGCAUGUACAAAAUAAUUGUUAGAUGUGGAUGCCCACAUCGGAUACUGACAGAUCUUGGUCCGGAAUUCAAUAAUAAGAGCAUUGCGGAAGAUGGUUGAUGACAAUGGGAGUAAUUGGGAUGAAUUACUUGACCUCAUUUUGUUUUCUUUGCGAACUAAAGUACAUGCAACAACAAAAAUUUCACCCUUUCGACUAAUGUUUUGUGCUGACCCAGUGUUUCCAGAAAUCUCCCAGAAUUACAUGGU